AGAGUUUGAUCCUGGCUCAGGACGAACGCUGGCGGCGUGCUUAACACAUGCAAGUCGAACGGAAAGGCCCUUCGGGGUACUCGAGUGGCGAACGGGUGAGUAACACGUGGGUGAUCUGCCCUGCACUUUGGGAUAAGCCUGGGAAACUGGGUCUAAUACCGAAUAUGACCAUGCGCCUCCUGGUGUGUGGUGGAAAGCUUUUGCGGUGUGGGAUGGGCCCGCGGCCUAUCAGCUUGUUGGUGGGGUAAUGGCCUACCAAGGCGACGACGGGUAGCCGGCCUGAGAGGGUGACCGGCCACACUGGGACUGAGAUACGGCCCAGACUCCUACGGGAGGCAGCAGUGGGGAAUAUUGCACAAUGGGCGCAAGCCUGAUGCAGCGACGCCGCGUGAGGGAUGACGGCCUUCGGGUUGUAAACCUCUUUCAAUAGGGACGAAGCGCAAGUGACGGUACCUAUAGAGGAAGCACCGGCCAACUACGUGCCAGCAGCCGCGGUAAUACGUAGGGUGCGAGCGUUGUCCGGAAUUACUGGGCGUAAGGAGCUCGUAGGUGGUUUGUCGCGUUGUUCGUGAAAACUCACAGCUUAACUGUGGGCGUGCGGGCGAUACGGGCAGACUAGAGUACUGCAGGGGAGACUGGAAUUCCUGGUGUAGCGGUGGAAUGCGCAGAUAUCAGGAGGAACACCGGUGGCGAAGGCGGGUCUCUGGGCAGUAACUGACGCUGAGGAGCGAAAGCGUGGGGAGCGAACAGAAUUAGAUACCCUGGUAGUCCACGCCGUAAACGAGAGGGGGCUAGGGGUGGGUUCCUUCCUUGGGGAUCCGUGCCGUAGCUAACGCAUUAAGUACCCCGCCUGGGGAGUACGGCCGCAAGGCUAAAACUCAAAAGAAUAGACGGGGGCCCGCACAAGCGGCGGAGCAUGUGGAUUAAUUAGAUGCAACGCGAAGAACCUUACCUGGGUUUGACAUGCACAGGACGCCGGCAGAGAUGUCGGUUCCCUUGUGGCCUGUGUGCAGGUGGUGCAUGGCUGUCGUCAGCUCGUGUCGUGAGAUGUUGGGUUAAGUCCCGCAACGAGCGCAACCCCUGUCCUAUGUUGCCAGCGGGUUAUGCCGGGGGCUCGUAGGAGACUGCCGGGGUCAACUCGGAGGAAGGGGGGGAGGACGUCAAGUCAUCAUGCCCCCUAUGUCCAGGGCUUCACACAUGCUACAAUGGCCGGUACAAAGGGCUGCGAUGCCGUGAGGUGGAGGGAAUCCUUUCAAAGCCGGUCUCAGUUCGGAUCGGGGUGUGCAACUCGACCCCGCGAAGUCGGAGUCGCUAGUAAUCGCAGAUCAGCAACGCUGCG
rnacentral:rRNA from 1 species